rnacentral:rRNA from 1 species
UACGUAGGGUGCAAGCGUUGUCCGGAAUUAUUGGGCGUAAAGAGCUCGUAGGCGGUUUGUCGCGUCUGCUGUGAAAACUCGGGGCUUAACUCCGGGCCUGCAGUGGGUACGGGCAGACUAGAGUGCGGUAGGGGAGACCGGAAUUCCUGGUGUAGCGGUGAAAUGCGUAGAGAUCAGGAGGAACACCUGUGGUGUAGACAGCUUACUGGACGGUCACUGACGCUGAGGCACGAAAGCGUGGGUAGCAAACAGG